UUCACUCUUAUUCGGAAAAUUUUUUUUUACGAACCAAGAUUUGUAAAAAGUCCUGAUUUUUUAUUGUCGGUCGUCCCCUUGUCCCAUCCGAGCAAGGGAUGGCUUUGAUCGUCUCCUCAUCUGAAAGUGAAAAAGGAAAAAUAUUUUAUUCUCUGAGGUUGCUCUCCUUCCCUUGUAUGGCUUAAUUUCUAGAGAACCCUGAACGAUUUGUGCUUCUCUCAUUUCAAAUCUAAAAAAUUGUUUCUAGUAGCCCGUGAGACAUGGUUCUGAAAAGUGAAACGCCGUGAAGCCUGCCGUUCCGGCUUGUUAGUUAUUAUCUCUUCUUCUUUGGGGUCUUCUCUUGAAGCUACUCAGCACCAGAGGCCGAGGUUGACUGAUUUGAUCUCUUUCUGUACUGCUUUCCUGUGUUGCUGCUCCUUGGUGUCUUCUAUUUGUUUAUGGCAUUGGACGAUGUAGCUAUGGGACCUCCGAUGAGCGGUGCAAAUGGGGCAUCUUCUCUUUUCUUUUCUCGGGUUGCCGAGUCAAGCUCUAGGUUCUAGAGAUCCAUUUUACAUGGAUUCUAGAUAUGGUCUUAAAGCCCAGUAUGAUUUAGAGUCUUUAUAAGUUUGUUGCUUACUAUUGUGGAGCCUCUGUUCAUUGCCUGUGGACCUUUUUCAGUAAUGAAUAUUACUUUUGAGUACAGUAAUUACUCAAAAAUAUAAUAAAAUAGUUAUUAUUUUUAAAAAUGUCUUAAGAAAAUUAAAAUAGUAGACAUCCAAUCUAUUAAUAAUUAACAGCUCACUACAGGUUACCCACAAUCAUAUUUAUCUUUAAGUUCGUACCAGUGGCAGACCCAGGUAUACAUAGAAACACCUGAAAAUAUAAAAAAACCAUCACCAUCACCAUCCCCAUCCCCAUCUUCAUCUUCAAGUUGUCCAUGUAAUAUUACAAUCAUACGCCCAGAAAUAAUGUGCAAGCUAUAUAAGAAGGCCCUUUUAAGUUGCCGAUACAGCAUUGAGUCUCGUGUUUGUAUACGCGAGGAAAUAUUUGGCAGCUGCAAAAA